rnacentral:rRNA from 1 species
GAUGAACGCUGGCGGCGUGCCUAAUACAUGCAAGUCGAGCGAACAGACGAGGAGCUUGCUCCUCUGACGUUAGCGGCGGACGGGUGAGUAACACGUGGAUAACCUACCUAUAAGACUGGGAUAACUUCGGGAAACCGGAGCUAAUACCGGAUAAUAUAUUAAACCGCAAGGUUCAAUAGUGAAAGACGGUUUUGCUGUCACUUAUAGAUGGAUCCGCGCCGCAUUAGCUAGUUGGUAAGGUAACGGCUUAGCAAGGCAACGAUGCGUAGCCGACCUGAGAGGGUGAUCAGCCAAACUGGAACUGAGACACGGUCCAGACUCCUACGGGAGGCAGCAGUAGGGAAUCUUCCGCAAUGGGCGAAAGCCUGACGGAGCAACGCCGCGUGAGUGAUGAAGGUCUUCGGAUCGUAAAACUCUGUUAUUAGGGAAGAACAAAUGUGUAAGUAACUAUGCACGUCUUGACGGUACCUAAUCAGAAAGCCACGGCUAACUACGUG